UACGUAGGGGGCAAGCGUUGUCCGGAAUCAUUGGGCGUAAAGAGCGUGUAGGCGGCUUGGUAAGUCCGCUGUGAAAGUCCAGGGCUCAACCCUGGAAUGCCAGUGGAUACUGUCAAGCUAGAGUCCGGAAGAGGCGAGUGGAAUUCCUGGUGUAGCGGUGAAAUGCGCAGAUAUCAGGAGGAACACCAAUGGCGAAGGCAGCUCGCUGAGACGUGACUGACGCUGAGACGCGAAAGCGUGGGGAGCAAACAGG
rnacentral:rRNA from 1 species